GGCGUCAUAGCUCAGCUGGGAGAGCAACAGACUGAAGUAGAUCUGUACUGUGAACUUGAGGGAAUCUGGAGGUCCCGUGUUCAAUCCACGGUGAUGUCA